rnacentral:lncRNA from 1 species
CAGUUAAAGUCAAUGUUAACUGAACCUGGAGAAAAUAAAAACAUAAAUCAUAUUGUAUCUAUCGUCAACUGUAUCCUACAUUUACAAAAUUCUUCUUAGUUGAUUUAAUAUUUUGUAUUUUUAAAAUUUCCUCCACUUCUAUUCCCACAUGAAAAAUAGCUAUUAAUGUCUGAUUUCUUGUAACAGUUAAACAGUCCAUGUGGGAAAAAUAUUUAAUAAUCCAGACUGUUCAUCUAUUACCAGUUUUAUAUGAAGUAAAUUUAGACUGACGAAGAAUUCAUCCCGUUAACGCUAUUUCGUGUGCCCUGACACGCAGGAUACGAACUACUUGUAAUCUAAAAUUGAGCGAAGAUGGUGGACAAGAGUAGCAACGCAGAAGCUGCUCACCUCUGGAAGCUGGCGUUGAGCGAAUGAAAUCAAAACGAAUUUCGAUGCUGAAAGACUUGGAAACCAUGCUGUCCACCACAUCGAGAAGCUGAGUAACAUUCUGCUUGUGCAAUGGUGCCUCUUAAUAAAAGGAACUUGAGCCAUCCAAUCUAGGGCUUCCUUCCAAUCGUGCAGGCUUCAUGGAAGUCACAUUUACCUUUGCUGUGAACAUCGUGAACACAUACACUAUUUGAAGGUUCAUGUUUAUGGAGCAGUGGUGUUGCUGUCCAAUGUGGUGUGUUGUUGCAGCCUAUGGUGGUGAAAGAUAUCUGCAUCAAGUUGCUGUUCCUUUGUGCAUCCAAGGUGCUGGUUUUGUGCUACAGAAGUGACAUCCAAUAUUGUGUUCAAUUGCUAUUUGUGCCUUCGCAGUUUAUCUUUAUAUAUUGAGAAGGAACAAAAAAAAGUAUUACGGGGAGGUUUAUGUCAAAGAAAUAAUAAACAUGUCCGGGAUGGGGGAAUGAGGAGGAAGUUGGGGUGGGGUAUUUGGUUAUGAUUUACUAAAAGAAGUGAGGUAUAUUUGUAAUGAAUAUGCAGUACUUGGUGAUAAAAUCUGUUGUUAACCUAUACCUUC